rnacentral:rRNA from 1 species
GACGAACCGUGCGAACGUUGUUCGGAAUCACUGGGCUUAAAGGGCGCGUAGGCGGUCUCUCAAGUCCGGGGUGAAAUCUUUCGGCUUAACCGGAAAAGUGCCUUGGAUACUGAGAGGCUGGAGGGAGGCAGGGGCAGCUGGAACUUCCAGUGGAGCGGUGAAAUGCGUUGAUAUUGGAAGGAACUCCGGUGGCGAAAGCGAGCUGCGAGUCCUCUUCUGACGCUGAGGCGCGAAAGCUAGGGGAGCAAACGGG